AUGAUAACUAGGCAAAGAGUGGAUAAUGUAAGACAAAUAGGCUUUCAGCAGAGCAGAGAAUGAAAUGAGAGAGAUGAUGAGUUUCACAUUAUAGGCAUUUGAUACGUAUAUGU